rnacentral:lncRNA from 1 species
UUGUACAUAAAAUAGCCGUUUAUUCAUAAGAACAAUAUUUAAUAUGUGUAGUGUACUGUAUUAUCACCGAUAUCUGUCGUCUCGUUGUCGCAUAGACGCGGAGAGUGCACACUAUACUCUAUGGCCAGUUGGCGGGAAACCGGGAGAGUGUGUGGCACGGGAGUAAGACGUUAUGUGGGCAAGCGAGCCGAUAUCCUAAUUAUCGGAUGGUAAUUACAGAGACACAGGUAGGGCGAACACUACAUUUGGCGACGAGUGAAAAUAUGAUAUUGGCGGCGUGUCUAUUUUCUGUGCUGGUGGUUUGGAUAAUAUAAGCUUCCAAACCUAGCUUCCCUCCCAGAGUCUAGUUAACUACUUACUUGCUACAUUGUUCUGGUAACAACUUACUUCAAGAGACUCGCUUACAAUAUAGUGGAUAUUACAAGAACAAACUGGUGGUUUUGUACCUUUAGUCAACUGUUCUAUAAAUGACAAACAUGUGCUAGGUAUAUUUAGUUAAACAAAUAGCACAUUGAAGGACCAUUGUAAGUUGGACUAUGUAUUUUGAAGUACUUACCCAGCUAUACUGGUAUGUAUGCACAUAUUCACAACAUUCCAACCCGUCAACGCUUCCAGUGGGUUGCCUAUCUAGUUAAUGUUAAUUAUAACGGUUGCUCAGUCACCCUGAAUAUAAUCCUAAUCCUUUUAAUUUAGUUUGUUUUGCAGUAUUAAAGAGGUUGUUAUGUUACAACAGAGAUAUCUCAGAAGAUGCAGAACAGGAAAACAGUACCAAACAGCAAUAUUAGAUGGAAAAUGUGGAUCAAAACUUUUGGUAUUCAAUAGAUAGAAUCUUUGGUAAAUAUCCUAACUCAUAAUCCUAAUUCGAGUAUUUUAGGUGAAUAUGAAACUCUUAGACCAAAAGUUUAAGGAACUAAGCAAUGGAGCAUUUUUGUACUUUAAUUAAUUCCCAUUAAGAUUUGUUGGGACAAUGCUGCUUUAUUUACCUAACUGGGGUUUCACAUCUGUGACAAAAUCUUAUAAGAAUGAAACAUGGAAGGAGUUUCAAUAUAGAUACUUACUCUGGGUACUGUCUAAUGAUUUAGAUUUCAUAAUUUGGUGAUUGCUUGUGCUUCUAAAAUAUAACCUUCAAGAUUCAGGCUUGAGUGGAUUUUAAUUGGUAUCACAAUUGACUGACAUUGGUGCAGUUUAACAGAGUAGCCCUCAUCGUAAUAUUGCUAUUUAUUUGUAAAUUAUACUUUACAGUAUUGCAGUGCCCAACAAGAAUUAUAAGUGUAAACUAAAUAAACUUACAUAGAAAGUUGUUGGGAGAAUAACAUAACCAAGACAUGAAAUAGAAUCCAUUUAUUGAUUUGAGAUUAAUACAUCUAUCUUUUGAAGUAGGUACAAUGUGUAGCCUUCUCAGUUGUUGGCUACAAAUGUUCUUGGCAUACUGAUUGUUGUUGUUGCUUUGCCACCCACUUGUGAAACCUGGAGAUGCCUGCUGACCGAACAGUUUCUUUAAAUUUUCAAAGCAGCGGCACCGAGCUGCCUGGGUCCUGUGGUACCUGCAUUUUAUCUGCGGCGCUUGGUUGUUCACUAAGUAGGUACCUACUUCAUAGGUUCUAGGUUUCUAUUCGGCGUUGGUGGGCGCAUGAAUUGGGAAUCCUGCGGCCAAUCUAUAGGUGGACGGACGUUGUAGAGGGGUCGGCGAUCGUUUCUACAGGGGGAAUUGUGCAUCGACGGGAGCGCUGUUUGUGAGUUGCUGUUCACUUUGAUGAAAGGAGGAGGAACAGUAGUUGAGAGUCUCUAUUGAUGGAUUCUAUUCUAUGUUAAGGUGUUUGUUUGUGUUUUGUAGUUUCACUGAAUGUCACAGCUACAGAUUACAAAGCUGAUGACACCUGUCAAAGCGCGUUUCGUUGCACGACGUAGUUGUUAACUAAAAUCCUAAAAUCUGAUAAGUUAAACGUAACUAUAAAGCAACGGCUUUAUAGGUGCCUACGUUAUAAUCGUAACGUACACAUAGCACUAAAGUUAAAUUUGUAGAAUUGCGCCCCUGGACACUCAUUGAUGUAGAACGCUCGAAGCUUAGGUAUAUCAGAAUUCUUUUAGAGAGUGUAUCUGCAGAAGCAUGCAAGUGCCAGCGCUGAUCCAUACGGUUGAAAACCAGAUUACUUGUUGCAAUGCUGAGAUAAGGAAUUAAGCUUUGAAAUAUUCCACUCUCAAUUAAUAAAAGGAAACUGUUACCAAAAUUAGUUGAGUUUGAUUCAUAUUAUGCUUUAAGCAUUUGCUAUUAAUUUCAUUUGUAAUAAUUUAAAUAAUUUUGCAAUGGGGUGUCAAAUUAGAUGUGAACGGUGGCUGGUCCAAGCGAUCUGUAACUAUGUAAACAUGAUUGCUAGGUAGGUUGGUUCCGAGUCUAAUAGGAAUACCUACCUUUACUUAACACAUUAGUAGUGCACUAAACUGUUAGUGCUCUGUUGUCAUCGAGAUUAAAUGUAAUUCCCCUAGUAGUACAAUUUUUAGAAUAGUUAACGAUACAACAUGAGUAAACGAGGUAUCUUUUCCGUCAGGAGAGCUGCGUUUCGACCGUUUAAGUUUUAAACAUUGUAUAAUAGGUAUACUGGCACCUAGACACGUUGAAAAGCAGAUUGGAAAUACAAAGGUAUUUCAUUUGUAGACACAAUUUACCACUUAGGUACAACCGUAUAAAUUAUUGUGUUAUGUUGUUAUCAAUAAAAAAAAAAAAACUUCUGAACUAUAAUUCUACUUUUAGUCAUUAUGUAUGUGUAGGUACUGGCAGAAAUCUGCUAGUUCACGGGCCCACUGCGGAAGUCAACCGGGUACGUACGUUUGUGUGAUCAUAAUUACUAUGUAUUUAUGUACAUGUUUGAAAAACUAGAGAUCGUACGGCAGUACUAAAUAGUAGAACUAUUAUAUUUGUAUUCGUAAAGCUUUGCGAGGCACGUUCCACUGUUGCUAACAGUAAGGUCCGUGAGAAAUCGUAAAGUUGCGCGAAAGUAUUAAAUAGUAGAACUAUUAUAUUUAUAUUCGUAAAGCUUUGCGAGGCACGUUCCACUGUUGCUAACAGUAAGGUCCGUGAGAAAUCGUAAAGUUGCGCGAAAGUAUUAAAUAGUAGAACUAUUAUAUUUAUAUUCGUAAAGCUUUGCGAGGCACGUUCCACUGUUGCUAACAGUAAGGUCCGUGAGAAAUCGUAAGGUUGCGCGAAAGUAUUAGAUAGUAGAACUAUCAUAUGUACCUAUAGACCUAUAUGCCUGAGAGGCGAGAACUUGUACAGCUUUACGAGGUGUGAACAGCUAGGUUCGCGAGGAUUCGUAUAUGUUGUGUGCAAGUCUUGUACAGCUUUACGAGGUGUGAACAGCUAGGUUCGCGAGGAUUCGUAUAUGUUGUGUGCAAGUCUUGUACAGCUUUACGAGGUGUGAACAGCUAGGUUCGCGAGGAUUCGUAUAUGUUGUGUGCAAGUCUUGUACAGCUUUACGAGGUGCGACCAGCAAGGUUCGCGAGGAUUCGUAUAUGUUGUGUGCAAGUCUUGUACAGCUUUACGAGGUGCGACCAGCAAGGUUCGCGAGGAUUCGUAUAUGUUGUGUGCAAGUCUUGUACAGCUUUACGAGGUGCGACCAGCAAGGUUCGCGAGGAUUCGUAUAUGUUGUGUGCAAGUAUAAAAUGGCAGGGCCUGGCAUGGACUUGAAAGUCACGUUCCACUGUCGUGGAGUCCUUGAGUAACACUCAAAGGUUUGCUUUAAACGGCGCGGCGGUAACUUGUUGGUAAGGUUAUUGAAAGUGGUAAUGGUAAGGUAAUGUGUGAGUAAAAGGUAAAGGUAAUAAUUUCCAUAAAUCGUCAGUGUAAAACGAUUCGACUGUAGUGACAUUUCAAGUUGUCCGGUUGUUUAUAAAACACUAGCAAACGCUACGCUAGUAAAAUGCACGUAAAAGUCAUUACGGGGCUUUAAUCGCAAGUACAAAGCGUCAGAAAAAACUUCAUUUCAUCAUUAUUGUUUCAACUCUGAAGCUAGAAAUAAAAUUCUUACAUUGGGACAAUGCAUUCUGAAACUGUUUUUCAAGUAAGUGAAGUAAAAUUAUUCAGUCAAAGCCCGACAAGGGCAAAGGCAAUACUUGGUCAUUUGAAGGAAAAGGGAAAGGAGUAGGUAGCUAGAGUAAAAUGUGAGGAAACCACUGGGAGUAUGAAGAUUUAUUAUAUUCCAUUAAUAGGCAGGUACAGUUUGGUUUUAUCUAUUUUUAUAUUCAUUUUGAUUUUGCCGCUAGUGGAUCUCAAGUGUUCGUAAUUGUUUCGAGCAUGAGAUACCUACCUGAAUAUGUCAUUGCCUAGAUAUAAAGUAGAUGAUUUCGAUAAUAAACUGUUUGAAUCGGACCAAGCAAGAUGAGUGCUCGUUGGCUGAACGUGCAGCAAUAUUUGAGACUGUUUGAUUCCACAUGGACUAACAGGCGGGAUAUCGGUGUCCAUCGACUGAUCACCAGACUGGUUAUUGAUGUCGGCAAAGUGACGGAGUUUAAUUUGUUUUUACUAAACAAAGGAAGGGAUGUAGUGUACUGUAUUAUCACCGAUAUCUGUCGUCUCGUUGUCGCAUAGACGCGGAGAGUGCACACUAUACUCUAUGGCCAGUUGGCGGGAAACCGGGAGAGUGUGUGGCACGGGAGUAAGACGUUAUGUGGGCAAGCGAGCCGAUAUCCUAAUUAUCGGAUGGUAAUUACAGAGACACAGGUAGGGCGAACACUACAAUAUGUAAUAAACAGAUUCAGAGAAAACUUCUGGAAUGGAAGGAAUCGUCGAAGACCUUUUUCAAGCAGGGGGACAAUAUAGGCUAUAUAAAAAAAUUACGUUCAGUUAUACCUAGGUACACGUUUCUUCUGUUCUUCUUUUUAAAUAUAUCCACUACUUCAUUCGCAUCAAUUUCUAUCCCAUAGAUAGUGAAUGUUCAUGAGAGCCAAGCCAUUCAGUCUGUUUUCACCCGUUGUGUUCCGCAAGUAGUUUUUAAGCCUUCUUAGACUUGAAAAAGACCUUUCUGGGGUAGCAGUGGAAACAGGUAACGUAGCCAGUAUUUGCAACAAUGUGUAAAUAUUUGGAUAGAGUUUUUGGUUGCACUUAUCUAAGCAUUCCAAAGCUGAUUUUGGAGUAGGGGAGGUGAGAGUCAUUGCUGCUUUCCACACUUCAAGUUCUGCUUUGACGACAGAUGUACUCUUUUCAGGCAGCACUUCUAAAUACAUACAAAAUGCCUCUUCAAUUUCACAACCUUUCGCAAAAUUUGACGGUAACACACCAGACAGUGCCGAUACUACUUUACGGUGUUUCGUAAAUCUCUCAAUUAAUUGUUGAAUUGUAUGGUCGAGAAAAGGGAUGAAUAAAUUUAUUUUGUAAUAUGUGGAUAUAUCCGACGCAGGAAUGUUAGAGCGAUUUAACUGCCUCCCGACGAUACGUGGCAUAAGCAGAAUACCACCAUUUUCUUCUAUUAGCACCUUUAAUCUUAUUAGUAGUUACUUACUCUUAUUAAAAGUGAAAAUUCUAAAUGUAUUUAAGUAAAAUUAAACACAAAAAUAACAAAAUAACGUCGUCGUUCACUGUAAAUUGCAAUCUGCUAAAUACUCUCGCUCGGUCUCGGUAAUGAACGCGACAUGCGCGCGGUGCGCGUGGGAUACGAAACGGCACGACGCGACGCGGCAUGAAACUACACGAAGAUUACCGAAUGUGACACGACGACGAGCGGCUCGGCGCGGUGCGCCCGUAGAGAAUCCAAUCCAAACCACAUACUUUUGAGUGUAAUUAAUUAAUAUAGUUAAAUUUUAUCUUAACUUUUCGGGGGGGGUUUGAACCCCCAAAACCCUCCCCCUGGCUACGCCCGUGUUGUAUAAAUAUUAUUUUGAUAAUUUAUGUUCAAAUAAUUAGCUAUUUUCAGUUUUUUGGUACUUUGCAGAGCGGAAUAUAAUUAGAUAUUGAAUUAUGCGCUAACGAAGAAGUCGCGGGCAAAAGCUAGUUUUAAAAUAUAAAAUGACUGACAAACUAGUUAAUUUUAGGUUACAUAUUUACUUAUUUUCUUUUCAUUUAUUUAUUCUUGCACAUAUUUAUUACAUUUUUAAGUAUUAAAUAUAAAAGUAAAAAACAUUUAAAAAUAUUUAUUGACUUAUAUAUUAUUAUAUUCAUUAUCAUUGUUGACCUACUUUUUGAAUACUUAUUGGUACCGGCGGUUGUUUUGACAGCUACUUUCUAGAAGGCAAGGCUUGUCAGUCAAACCAGUCGGUUUUGGUUCGUAGGAGAUAUUUAUAUUAUUACAUAAUAUGUGAUUUGUUUGUAACUGAAGCGGGCAGUUUAAACUAGCUGUUGCAAGCGGUUUUAUCAAUGCCUCGAGGGAACUGCUACAGCAUUCAGAUAAAAAUUGGCUCUAUGUGUAUUCUGAUGAUGAUUUGAGUUAUAACAUUGUCAAACCUAUCAAAAUCCGUCUAUUUGUGAUUUUGCAUGAAAGAGUAAUUUACAUCCAUACUCAUACAGACGCAUGUCCAUACUUUAGUUUUGUAAUUUACUAGGUAGGUGUUCAAAAAGGUAGGUCACUAAAACUACAAACAGGAAGGCAAAGUCUAUACUGUGCUACAAAGCAUGCUACUUUUUCAUGCUUGUUGAUUGUUUGGUUUGAUCUCUGUCUCAGAUUGUUGACUUUGUUUUGUUGCAUUUUUUGCUUGUUUUGGUUUUAUUUUCUCUGGUUUCUUUUUUCUUGUAUCUGGUUUUAAUCUGGGUUAUAGUCUCGCCCAUGCUUUUAAACAUGAAUCACUUACCACAAAAGAAAACUUCAUUGUCCUGCUGCAGGCACAUUCUCAGAUAGAGAAGGAAUGAUCUUUACUUAGGUAGAUACCACACUUGCUGUGGAUAUGGUAUAUCGUUGGUACAUUGGGAUAGUCCAGUUUUUGUCAUGAGGUGUGUAAAAGUUUUUUGGAACUCAGCACUAACUCCGCCCCUAAGACGACCCACUGACCCAAUUUCUACUGAAAUCUAAGGAAAAUAAAAGAAAAACAUAAUUUAAAAAGGAAUUGUUUACCUAUUUAUUGUUUUAAGUAUUUAAAAAAAAAAUAGUCUUCUUCGGUAUCACUCUGUCAUGAUAUUUGUUUGUUAUUGAUAGAUGGCUAUUGUUGUUUGUCAUUGUUCACCAUGUAAGUGGGCACACUUGCAAUAAAUAUAAUCUUGACGAGUUCAUUCUAAAAAUACUGCUUAUGUCACCUGUCUACUCUCAAUAAAAUUGGUACAAAAAGAAAGAUGCUGGUAUUUAACCAGCACAUCUAUUGUAGUACUGCAUUCAUAAUAAGUUCCAGGUUAAAGACAUGGACUUAUGGAAAAAAUUGUUUGGCCAGGGUUACCCUCAUCAAAGUGGUUUGGCUAGGUUUUGAGUUCAUCACAUUAAUAAAGCUGUGGCUUUUAGUUUGGUUAUUUUCAUUUAUGAAUCAAUUUAUUGUAAAUUUAAUCAGAAAGUGUAAGUUCAUAAAGCAAGCAUUUUUGUAACGUUACAGGAUGUGGUAAAGGAAUAUGAUUUCUAACAAAUAAGUAUGCUUUUCUUGAAUAAAAGUAUAAAGAUAAUAAUAUUAAGCUUUAUUUGUUUGUAGAAAUGUCACAUUUUUUAUAAUUAAGUAUGUAUAAAGAUUAAACAAUUUAUUUUACAUAAGUAGUUGGAAUAAUAUCUUUGGCCCUGUUGCUUUUGUCUGCGUUCAAUAGAGUAUCGAUGUUGCUAAAAAAAUAUAUAUUUUAUUCCUUCUUUAAAUUCAAAUUUUGUAAGUACACUAUUCUUGAGAUCCAAACUAAUAUUAUAAAUGCGAAAGUAACUCUGUCUGUCUGUCUGUCUGUCUGUCUGUCUGUCUGUCUGUCUGUCUGUCUUUCUGUCUGUCUGUCUGUCUUUUCUUCACGCCUAAACUACUGAACCGAUUUGUGUGAAAUUUGGUACAGACAUAGUUUGAAACUUGAGAAAGGACAUAGGAUAGUUUUUAUUACAAAAAAAAAAUAAAAAUAAAAUUAUUCCGGACAUAUAGCGCCAUCUAUUGGUCAAAUCAAAAAUCUGCUGGUAGUCACUAUUCCACGCGAACGAAGUUGCGGGCAAAAGCUAGUUAGAAAUAAAAGCGAUCGUAAGUUUUUCAAUUUUGCGUCAUGCCUAUUGAGCCUUUGUGAUAAUACUUAUGCUUCUACCUACCCGUUUCUUUAAUUAAAACCUCUUCUACAGGGCUAAUACAUUUGUUUGUACAGCUUUGUCCUUGGAGGUUUUUGUACAUUGUGUAAGAAACUCCUGUUGAAUCUCGUAUUGAAAGAAUUCAGGUUGCAGAGGUAAAAGUAUCACGGGACUCUCAAAGAAGAAUUACCAGCAGUGGGUAUAUUUAGCGGUUAAUCCUAACGUUACAAUAACGUAUUAUAAAAUCCUUAUUAUCAAAUCAACAGCAAAAUUGUAAUGCUACGUUCACACGCGCGCGUUCGACAUUCGACUCUACAUUCAACGAGCACAUUCACGUUCACGAGCGUGUAAACGCCCGUGCCCGUGAACGAGCUUGUGAAUGUGAAAGCCGCGAAUCGCGAUUUUUUGGCAAAAAGAAAUAGUGCUCGCUCAUAGUUCUCAACAUUAAUCAUUUGUAUAUUAAAUAUCAUAAUAUAAAUGAAUGUUUUCAUUCUGUGAGCCCAAUAUUAUGUUUACCUAGGUUACAUACCUUAUUUUCUUUUGGUGAGUAUUUAUUUCUUCUUUGAGAAUGUAUUUUGCACACGGUUGGAUGCAGAACACAAAAUACCUUCUUCUGGUUCUGGCUGACCUACAUCUUCAGAUAUCUACAAUUUGAAAUGAAUACUAAAAAUGCUACAGCUUCAAAUUUACGAGUUAGGAAUUAUUCUUAAUUACCUCUUUAGUGUCCUUAAUUUGGUUACUUGUGCUUGGUAUUGGCGUCCAAGGAUCAUCAAUUGGAGUGUUCAUGGAGAUUCAUGUUUUCUGAUGUCAGUGACUGCAAUAUUAAAUUAAUUAGAAAAGUUUAUUUGAUAAGCACCAAAUCGUGGAAAAAGUGUAUAGUUCUUAUAACAACGACAAAAGCUAAUACCUACCUCAUUGAUUUUUCUGAUACCUAUGCACCCUGUUGCUAUCAAAUUGAUUUGUAUCGACAGUAAAUUUAUUUGGAAUCGCCUGUAUUAUUGCUAUGCUACAUUUACCCACUCUCUAUGGAUUUUACUUUACCUUUAGUUUUUCUCCACUGGGUUGUUAACUCUUU